rnacentral:lncRNA from 1 species
UUACCUCAAGAGCUUUCCUUUCCUUGAGCUAAAGAAGAAGAAGAAGAGAUAGCUUCACUCCUUUGCCUUCUUCUCCACCAAAUCCACAUUCAAAUCUCCUAUUGAUCCACCUUUAAGAGAGUUCUUAGAGAGAAAGGAGGAGAGAAAUGAGAGAGGAAGGUGUUCUCACUGCUGUGAAUGAUAGAGGAGAGAUGGGGUAUUUUUAUAGGCUGCAACAAUAACAAAUAAACCCUCCAAACAUUUUUAUUUACGGCAGACUUACUCUGCUGUUCACAGCACUGCGUACCGAUACGCGAGUGGGCGUCACCGGUACGCCCCUGUUUAACA